GACGAACGCUGGCGGCGUGCUUAACACAUGCAAGUCGAACGGAAAGGCCCUGCUUUUGUGGGGUGCUCGAGUGGCGAACGGGUGAGUAACACGUGAGUAACCUGCCCUUGACUUUGGGAUAACUUCAGGAAACUGGGGCUAAUACCGGAUAGGAGCUCCUGCUGCAUGGUGGGGGUUGGAAAGUUUCGGCGGUUGGGGAUGGACUCGCGGCUUACCAGCUUGUUGGUGGGGUAGUGGCUUACCAAGGUUUUGCCGGGUAGCCGGCCUGAGAGGGUGACCGGCCACAUUGGGACUGAGAUACGGCCCAGACUCCUACGGGAGGCAGCAGUGGGGAAUAUUGCACAAUGGGCGGAAGCCUGAUGCAGCAACGCCGCGUGCGGGAUGACGGCCUUCGGGUUGUAAACCGCUUUCGCCUGUGACGAAGCGUGAGUGACGGUAAUGGGUAAAGAAGCACCGGCUAACUACGUG
rnacentral:rRNA from 1 species